rnacentral:rRNA from 1 species
UACAGAGGAUGCAAGCGUUAUCCGGAAUGAUUGGGCGUAAAGCGUCUGUAGGUGGCUUUUUAAGUCCGCCGUCAAAUCCCAGGGCUCAACUCUGGACAGGCGGUGGAAACUACCAAGCUGGAGUACGGUAGGGGCAGAGGGAAUUUCCGGUGGAGUGGUGAAAUGCGUAGAGAUGUGGAGGAACACCGAUGGCGAAGGCAGCCCCCUGGGUCAAGAUUGACGCUCAUGCACGAAAGCGUGGGAAGCAAACAGG